GAUGAAGAACGUAGCGAAAUGCGAUAAGUAAUGUGAAUUGCAGAAUUCAGUGAAUCAUCGAGUUUUUGAACGCAUAUUGCGCCCUCUGGUAUUCCGGGGGGCAUGCCUGUUCGAGCGUCAUUAAAUAAACCUCAAGCAUAGCUUGGUGUUGGGCUUUUUUACGUCCUUGACUGGGAUGGGCCUAAAAAUUAGUGGCGAUGGCUUUUUUACUUUCAAGCGUAGUAAAUCUCGUCUUGCUAAAGAGGAAAAAGAUUUUUUUUCUGCCAAAAAUUUUAACAUUUAAAGUUGACCUCGGAUCAGGUAGGAUUACCCGCUGAACUUAAGCAUAUCAAUAAGCGGAGGA
rnacentral:misc_RNA from 1 species